CACGUAGGGUGCGAGCGUUGUCCGGAAUUAUUGGGCGUAAAGAGCUCGUAGGCGGUCCGUCACGUCGGAUGUGAAAUUCCAGGGCUCAACCCUGGACCUGCAUUCGAUACGGGCGGACUAGAGUUCGGUAGGGGAGACUGGAAUUCCUGGUGUAGCGGUGAAAUGCGCAGAUAUCGGGAGGAACACCAAUGGCGAAGGCAGCUCGCUGGGACGGUACUGACGCUGAGACGCGAAAGCGUGGGGAGCAAACAGG
rnacentral:rRNA from 1 species